GAUGAACGCUGGCGGCGUGCCUAAUACAUGCAAGUCGAGCGAACAGAUGAGGAGCUUGCUCCUCUGACGUUAGCGGCGGACGGGUGAGUAACACGUGGAUAACCUACCUAUAAGACUGGGAUAACUUCGGGAAACCGGAGCUAAUACCGGAUAAUAUAUUGAACCGCAUGGUUCAAUAGUGAAAGACGGUUUUGCUGUCACUUAUAGAUGGAUCCGCGCCGCAUUAGGUGGUAGGUAGGGUUACGGGUUACCACGGCAGCGAGGGGUUGACGAACUGAGAGAGUGAUAGCCCACACGAGAGGGUGGCCGGCGACCAGACUCCUGCGGGAGGCAGCAGUAGGGUAUGUUCCGCAGUGGGCGAAAGCCUGACGGAGCAAGGCCGCGUGAGUGUUGGCGGUCUUCGGAUCGUAAAACUCGGUUAUUAGGGGAGAACAGAUGUGGAAGUAACUAUGCAGGUAGUGACGGUACCUAAUCAGAAAGCCACGGCUAACUACGUG
rnacentral:rRNA from 1 species